rnacentral:rRNA from 2 species
CAUCUUGAUUUAAUUUUGAACGAGUGGCGGACGGGUGAGUAACACGUGGGUAACCUGCCCUUAAGUGGGGGAUAACAUUUGGAAACAGAUGCUAAUACCGCAUAAAUCCAAGAACCGCAUGGUUCUUGGCUGAAAGAUGGCGUAAGCUAUCGCUUUUGGAUGGACCCGCGGCGUAUUAGCUAGUUGGUGAGGUAACGGCUCACCAAGGCAAUGAUACGUAGCCGAACUGAGAGGUUGAUCGGCCACAUUGGGACUGAGACACGGCCCAAACUCCUACGGGAGGCAGCAGUAGGGAAUCUUCCACAAUGGACGCAAGUCUGAUGGAGCAACGCCGCGUGAGUGAAGAAGGCUUUCGGGUCGUAAAACUCUGUUGUUGGAGAAGAAUGGUCGGCAGAGUAACUGUUGUCGGCGUGACGGUAUCCAACCAGAAAGCCACGGCUAACUACGUGCCAGCAGCCGCGGUAAUACGUAGGUGGCAAGCGUUAUCCGGAUUUAUUGGGCGUAAAGCGAGCGCAGGCGGUUUUUUAAGUCUGAUGUGAAAGCCCUCGGCUUAACCGAGGAAGUGCAUCGGAAACUGGGAAACUUGAGUGCAGAAGAGGACAGUGGAACUCCAUGUGUAGCGGUGAAAUGCGUAGAUAUAUGGAAGAACACCAGUGGCGAAGGCGGCUGUCUGGUCUGUAACUGACGCUGAGGCUCGAAAGCAUGGGUAGCGAACAGGAUUAGAUACCCUGGUAGUCCAUGCCGUAAACGAUGAAUGCUAGGUGUUGGAGGGUUUCCGCCCUUCAGUGCCGCAGCUAACGCAUUAAGCAUUCCGCCUGGGGAGUACGACCGCAAGGUUGAAACUCAAA